rnacentral:rRNA from 1 species
GACGAACGCUGGCGGCGUGCUUAACGCAUGCAAGUCGAACGGAAAGGCCUCUUUCGGGGGGUACUCGAGUGGCGAACGGGUGAGUAACACGUGAGUAACCUGCCCUUGACUUUGGGAUAACUUCAGGAAACUGGGGCUAAUACCGGAUAGGAGCUCCUGCUGCAUGGUGGGGGUUGGAAAGUUUCGGCGGUUGGGGAUGGACUCGCGGCUUAUCAGCUUGUUGGUGGGGUAGUGGCUUACCAAGGCUUUGACGGGUAGCCGGCCUGAGAGGGUGACCGGCCACAUUGGGACUGAGAUGCGGCCCAGACUCCUACGGGAGGCAGCAGUGGGGAAUAUUGCACAAUGGGUGGAAGCCUGAUGCAGCAACGCCGUGUGCGGGAUGACGGCCUUCGGGUUGUAAACCGCUUUCGCUCAUGACGAAGCUUUGUGUGACGGUAGUGGGUAAAGAAGCACCGGCUAACUACGUG